rnacentral:tRNA from 1 species
GCCUGGGUGGCUUAGUCAGUUGAGCGUCCGACUUCGGCUCAGGUCAUGAUCUCGCGGUCCGUGGGUUCGAGCCCUGCCUCGGGCU